rnacentral:rRNA from 1 species
AGCAGUCGCCGCGGGAAUACGGAGGGUGCAAGCGUUAAUCGGAAUUACUGGGCGUAAAGCGCACGCAGGCGGUUUGUUAAGUCAGAUGUGAAAUCCCCGAGCUUAACUUGGGAACUGCAUUUGAAACUGGCAAGCUAGAGUCUUGUAGAGGGGGGUAGAAUUCCAGGUGUAGCGGUGAAAUGCGUAGAGAUCUGGAGGAAUACCGGUGGCGAAGGCGGCCCCCUGGACAAAGACUGACGCUCAGGUGCGAAAGCGUGGGGAGCAAACAGGAUUAGAUACCCGUGUAGUCCCUGUCUCUUAUAC